rnacentral:rRNA from 1 species
AUUGAACGCUGGCGGCAUGCCUUACACAUGCAAGUCGAACGGCAGCACGGGUGCUUGCACCUGGUGGCGAGUGGCGCACGGGUGAGUAAUACAUCGGAACAUGUCCUCUAGUGGGGGAGAGCCCGGCGAAAGCCGGAUUAAUACCGCAUACGAUCUACGGAUGAAAGCGGGGGCCCUUCGGGCCUCGCGCUUUAGGGUUGGCCGAUGGCUGAUUAGCUAGUUGGUGGGGUAAAGGCAUACCAAGGCGACGAUCAGUAGCUGGUCUGAGAGGACGACCAGCCACACUGGGACUGAGACACGGCCCAGACUCCUACGGGAGGCAGCAGUGGGGAAUUUUGGACAAUGGGCGAAAGCCUGAUCCAGCAAUGCCGCGUGUGUGAAGAAGGCCUUCGGGUUGUAAAGCACUGUUGUCCGGAAAGAAAUACUUGGCCCUAAUACGGUCGGGGGAUGACGGUACCGGAAGAAUAAGCACCGGCUAACUACGUG